UACGUAGGGGGCAAGCGUUGUCCGGAAUUAUUGGGCGUAAAGAGCGCGUAGGCGGUCCGGUAAGUCGGCUGUGAAAGUCAAGGGCUCAACCCUUGAAAGCCGGCCGAUACUGUCGGACUAGAGUCCGGAAGAGGCGAGUGGAAUUCCCGGUGUAGCGGUGAAAAUGCGCAGAUAUCGGGAGGAACACCAAUGGCGAAGGCAGCUCGCUGGGACGUUACUGACGCUGAGACGCGAAAGCGUGGGGAGCAAACAGGG
rnacentral:rRNA from 1 species